CAGAUUGAACGCUGGCGGCAGGCCUAACACAUGCAAGUCGAGCGGCAGCACGGGUACUUGUACCUGGUGGCGAGCGGCGGACGGGUGAGUAAUGCCUAGGAAUCUGCCUGGUAGUGGGGGAUAACGCUCGGAAACGGACGCUAAUACCGCAUACGUCCUACGGGAGAAAG
rnacentral:rRNA from 1 species